AAUGAACGUUGGCGGCGUGGAUUAGGCAUGCAAGUCGAGCGCUCAUAGCAAUAUGGGAGCGGCGAACGGCGUAGGAAUUCAUAGGAACGUACCCUCAGGACGGGGAUAGCUACGGGAAACUGUAGGUAAUACCCGAUGAUCUCCGCGGAGCAAAGGUGUGAUUCCGCCUGAGGAGCGGCUUAUGCGAUAUUAGCUAGUUGGUGGGGUAAUGGCCUACCAAGGCGACGAUGUCUAGGGGGUGUGAGAGCAUGGCCCCCACGACCGGAACUGAGAUACUGUCCGGACACCUACGGGUGGCUGCAGUCGAGAAUCUUCCGCAAUGGACGAAAGUCUGACGGAGCGACGCCGCGUGCGGGAUGAAGGCCCUUGGGUUGUAAACCGCUUUCGGAGGGGAUGAAAUCCUCGAGGGUUCUCCCUCGAGGUUGACAGAGCCUCAAAAGAAGCACGGGCUAAGUACGUGCCAGCAGCCGCGGU
rnacentral:rRNA from 1 species